AGGGUACAGCAGAACUCAAAGUGUUUGUCAACUUGGACUUCCGCCUGUCCACUAGCUUGCCUUAAGCAGAUUCUGAGGAGCUGCACUCAAGAUUGAUCCCCUAUGUUCUUUUGGUCUCAUAUUCUCUAGCCUUUCUUGUAACAGGCAUACCAGGUCAAAUGAGGGACAUCUGUCCAUUUGCAAACAAGCCAACCUCAUCCCUGAGGUCAGUGAUGAAGUGCUGAGUAACGAACUGGAAAAGCAAAUAAGUAAAGGAGUUAGGAAGGACACUUUCUUAUUCGGAGCUCACUAGAGAAUGUGAUUUUUCCUGAACAACUGCAUACUUCCUAGUAUGCCUUUUGGUAAACUACCCACGUUUCCCACAAUAUGUACCUGAUAUGGAGAGGGAAAAAAGCAAACCAUGGCGGUCUAAGCAGCUUAGAUUUGAUAAAAAUAAUAAGAGUGGUUCCUUCAGUUCAUUUUCCAAACCCUUCUGCCAGAACAAGCUGGUUCUUCUGGGAAGACGGAACUGCCUACGGCCAUAUGCACCCAUCUGUUCUUCUCUGCAAAAAUGUCUUGGCCUUUUCCACACAGAGCCAGUGGGUGGUGGGGGUGACCACUGCAGGUGGACAGGCCAGAUUGCAAGAGCCCCCAUUCUAGAGAGGGUCCUGUCCCA
ensembl:lncRNA novel transcript